rnacentral:rRNA from 1 species
AGAGUUUGAUCCUGGCUCAGGAUGAACGCUGGCGGCGUGCCUAAUACAUGCAAGUCGUGCGGGGGAAGAUCCUUCGGGAUCGGACCCAGCGGCGAACGGGUGAGUAACACGUGGGCAACCUGCCCGCAAGACGGGGAUCAACUCCGGGAAACCGGUGCUAAUACCCGAUAAUCCCGGCUCCCGCAUGGGAGCGGGGUGAAAGGCGGCUUCGGCUGUCACUUGCGGAUGGGCCCGCGGCGCAUUAGCUGGUUGGUGAGGUAACGGCUCACCAAGGCGACGAUGCGUAGCCGACCUGAGAGGGUGAUCGGCCACACUGGGACUGAGACACGGCCCAGACUCCUACGGGAGGCAGCAGUAGGGAAUUUUCCGCUAAUGGGCGCAAGCCUGACGGAGCAACGCCGCGUGAGUGAGGACGGCCUUCGGGUUGUAAAACUCUGUUCUUGAGGAAGAACCCUUCCGAGGCGUAACUAGCCAUCGGUAAGUU